UACGAAGGGGGCUAGCGUUGCUCGGAAUUACUGGGCGUAAAGCGCGCGCAGGCGGCCCUUUAAGUCCGUCGGUCAAAUGCCGGGGCUCAACCCCGAUGCAUGCCGAGGAUACUGGAGGGCUGGAGACACGUAGAGGCAAGCGGAAUUCCGGGUGUAGCGGUGGAAUGCGUAGAGAUCCGGAAGAACACCGGAGGCGAAGGCGGCUUGCUGGGCGUGAUCUGACGCUGAGGCGCGAAAGCGUGGGGAGCGAACAGG
rnacentral:rRNA from 1 species